GGAACAGGUUCCUGCUGGUGGGAGGCUCCAGCAAGAGACCUUUGAAAGGGGCUUUAGGGGAAGAAAGCAACAAAUAAGGACUGGCAACUGAGAGAAAAAUAUUAGAGGCCACGUGGACCAUCCUGCUCUUUAUUAUUAGACGAUUGUCUUAAAAAGGCUAAAAAUGCUCAUCCAGCUGCUGCAAUUGGAUUAAGGGUAUCCAUACCUCUGCUCCUGCUAUUCCCAGCCUAAGCUCCUUAUGGAUGGGACCCUCCCUGCCUUCAGGCUGAUGCCUUCCUGAUGAUACUCUGGGACUUUAGGAGACAACCUGGAUAAGGAACAGCUCCCAGUAAUGUGCCGUCCACCCCUCCCAGGUUUGUGGGCAUCACCCAGAAUUUUGGUCCAGGUCUUAGCCUUGUUUAUACACCUGAGAAGCACUGGAGCUUUCACAUCCCCUGACCUGGUUUCUAACCCAUGUACUCAGGAGGAUGAGAUGAUUAAACCCAACUUAUGAAACACUCGUGCAAAUCCUCUUAGCUCAGCCACAUAAAUGAGAGUAAGACCAACUGGGCUUGGGAAACGUGUACCCACAGGAGAAACUGGGCCUGAUUUUUCACCAUUAAGGGGGUUUUAAUCUAUUGAAAAUUUUUGUGGGUGAUGUGCACUUUCCAUCUGUUUUUUGGAGCAUGUUCCAGCUGCGAUGGUGACCCAAGAUGUUGUGUGACUCAGUCAAAAGCUUUUCUUUCCCCUAAAGCAACAAAUUAAAUGUUCUUUAUGAAGCUUA